GUUCAUUAUUAUUCUCUGAAGUCAUCAGGGAGCACCAAGAGGGUGGGAUUUCAGGAAGUAUUUAAAUGAAAGGAGACACAUGGCUUGGCACAGUGAGAGGGAGGUUUUCCAGGCUUCCUGUGCUGUCUUGGGGACCUGCUCAGAGGCUGGACCACGUCAUGCUCAGAAGGGUGCCUCAUUUCCAUCGUCAGUGGGUCUUAGUCAUCAAGACUGAUGUACCGCACUAGCGCCAGCAUUGAACCUGUCCACAUAGGAGUCUGCUUCCAGGAAAAAGGAGCUCAUGAAAUGAAAAUUGGGCUGUUAAAAACUAUUGGAACAUAGGAAUGGGAACACUCACUUCCUCAUGCCCAGUGACCUGGAGUUGACAUCAGGACAUCUCAGCAUAAUCAACAAACUUUUAUUCAUUCAUUCAUCAUGUAUUUACUGGGUUUCUACUAUGAGUUGG
rnacentral:lncRNA from 1 species